rnacentral:rRNA from 1 species
UCAGGACGAACGCUGGCGGCGUGCCUAAUACAUGCAAGUCGAACGGUCUUUCUAUGGAAGCUUGCUUCCACUGAGAAGAUAGUGGCGAACGGGUGAGUAACACGUGGGUAACCUGCCCAUAAGAGGGGGAUAACAUCCGGAAACGGGUGCUAAUACCGCAUAGUUUUCUUGAUCGCAUGAUCGGGGAAGGAAAGACGGCCUUUGUGCUGUCGCUUAUGGAUGGACCCGCGGCGUAUUAGUUAGUUGGUGAGGUAACGGCUCACCAAGACGAUGAUACGUAGCCGACCUGAGAGGGUGAUCGGCCACAUUGGGACUGAGACACGGCCCAAACUCCUACGGGAGGCAGCAGUAGGGAAUCUUCCGCAAUGGACGAAAGUCUGACGGAGCAACGCCGCGUGAGUGAAGAAAGGGUUUUCGGAUCGUAAAACUCUGUUGUCAGAGAAGGACAAGUUGGAGAGUAACUGCUCCAGCCUUGACGGUAUCUGACCAGAAAGCCACGGCUAACUACGUGCCAGCCGCCGC